GGUGGUCCACCCCGAUCUACACUGACACAGGUACUGACUGGGUGGUCCACUCUGAUCUACACUGACACAGGUACUGACUGGGUGGUCCACUCUGAUCUACACUGACACAGGUACUGACUGGGUGGUCCACUCCGAUCUACACCG